rnacentral:lncRNA from 1 species
GAAUUAUUUGUAUUAUUUAUUAAAUUACCUAAUAAAUUUUAUUUUAUUAAAGUCUACCCCUACCCCAACCCUAAACCCAAGCCUCACAAUAAUGUAAAAAUAUGUAUUAUUGUUCUAUUGUCACAAAAAUGAUGCUAUACAGAAGUGAGGAUCUUGAGCUGACUUUGCCAACUAUAUGGGCAUUAAACAAUUUUACUGCACACCUUCCAGCCAAUCAGAUUCAGGAAUUUUAACAGACCAUGGGAUAACAGAAAAAAUGAUAAUAACCAUGAUGUUAGUCAGUGGCCCAUUAUUAAUUAUUCCACACUUGCAAUGUUUUCUCUCUAUCAGCACUCUUGGCAGUCAAAAGCAUAAGGACUCUUUGGGAAUAACGAGAUGGUCUUUAGCCUCUCGUCUGGCUCCAGAAGGGGCUCCGCGAUCACACUCUUCUGCAGAGGACUUCGAGCUCCGAGCUGCUCUGGAGGAAAGCAGCAUGAAGAGAGCAGAACUCGUCCAGAGGCUCCGAGAGGCCAGAGGUCACCUGGAUGCUCAGACAGACCUUUUGAAAAGCAAAGGGUUUCAGCUUCAAGAAAGCAAGAGCCUCUCUAACCUUUUGGACAUAAAGCACAAGCAGCUUUCUGAAGCAGUAAAAAUUCUUGAGCAAGACAAAGGAGCUGUGGAGAUGAGUCGCUUUGAGGAGAGUCGCCGUCGUAGAGAAUUACAUGAUAAAGUUCUGCAGCUCGAGUUGGACAUUUUGAAGAUGAGGUCCAACCUGGAAACUCUGUCCACAUCAGUGGAUCCACUUAGCAGAACUCUGCCUGAUACUAAAGACCAAAUCCGCAGAGAGGUAGAGCUUGCUGGGAAGGAUAAAAACUUACAAUUUUAG